rnacentral:lncRNA from 1 species
AAAAAACUGAAAGUUGUCGGAAUCGAACGGAAAAAGUAUGGGUAGGGUCGGAAUUGAUAGCCCACCAAUCUGUCCUGAAGAAACAAACUGAAAAAGUGGCCGAAACUGCCCUCACGCGCCGAGGGUUUUGCCGCGCGUGGGGGCGCGUGACACGUGUGUUUCCGGUGAUUUUUUCUGGGGUUGGUCGGAAUUCUCUCCCGAACCUCGUGGUGGUCUCGGAUUUUGCACAACACCAACAGAAAAGGUAGUUUAGUUACGGACAGCCUGUUAAGUCGUCGGAAAAUUGCACGGCGACGAGGUCUUCUUCCCGGAAAUAGCUGGAAUGACGCACAGCUAUAUNNNNNNN